rnacentral:rRNA from 1 species
GGAAGUAAAAGUCGUAACAAGGUUUCCGUAGGUGAACCUGCGGAAGGAUCAUUACCGAGUGCGGGAACCCAGUCGGGUCCCAAUCUCCCACCCGUGUCUACCACACCUAGUGUUGCUUUGGCGGGCCCACUCCUCCGGUGUUCCGCCGGGGGGGUCGUCCCGGGGCGCGGUGUGCCCCCGGGGCCCGUGCCCGCCAGAGGCACUCACUGUGAACGCUUUUGUGAAUGCGAGGAUUGUCUGAGUGACGAAAUGCAAUCGUUCAAAACUUUCAACAAUGGAUCUCUUGGUUCCGGCAUCGAUGAAGAACGCAGCGAAAUGCGAUAAGUAAUGUGAAUUGCAGAAUUCCGUGAAUCAUCGAAUCUUUGAACGCACAUUGCGCCCUCUGGUAUUCCGGGGGGCAUGCCUGUCCGAGCGUCAUUGCGAACCCUCAAGCACGGCUUGUGUGUUGGGCCGCCGUCCCCUCGUUUGUAGGGGACGGGCCUGAAAGGCAGCGGCGGCGUCGCGUCCGGUCCUCGAGCGUAUGGGGCUCUGUCACGCGCUCAAUGAGGGGUCCGGCCGGGGCCAUAGCCUCUGAAGGUCAAUUCUUCCAAGGUUGACCUCGGAUCAGGUAGGACUACGCGCUGACCUUACGCAUAUCAUUAAGCGGAGGA